UACGUAGGGUGCGAGCGUUAAUCGGAAUUACUGGGCGUAAAGCGUGCGCAGGCGGCUUCGCAAGUCAGGCGUUGAAAUCCCCGGGCUUAACCGUGGGAAUGGCGUCUGAAACUACGGAGCUGGAGUGUGGCAGAGGGAGGUAGAAUUCCACGUGUAGCGGUGAAAUGCGUAGAGUAUGAUGGAGGAAUACCGAUGGCGAAGGCAGGCCUCCUGGGCCAAACACUGACGCUCGAUGCACGAAAGCGUGG
rnacentral:rRNA from 1 species